rnacentral:rRNA from 1 species
UGGGGAAUAUUGCACAAUGGGCGCAAGCCUGAUGCAGCCAUGCCGCGUGUGUGAAGAGGGCCUUCGGGUUGUAAAGCACUUUCAGCGAGGAGGAAGGUGGUGAGCUUAAUACGCUCAUCAAUUGACGUUACUCGCAGAAGAAGCACCGGCUAACUCCGUGCCAGCAGCCGCGGUAAUACGGAGGGUGCAAGCGUUAAUCGGAAUUACUGGGCGUAAAGCGCACGCAGGCGGUUUGUUAAGUCAGAUGUGAAAUCCCCGGGCUCAACCUGGGAACUGCAUUUGAAACUGGCAAGCUAGAGUCUCGUAGAGGGGGGUAGAAUUCCAGGUGUAGCGGUGAAAUGCGUAGAGAUCUGGAGGAAUACCGGUGGCGAAGGCGGCCCCCUGGACGAAGACUGACGCUCAGGUGCGAAAGCGUGGGGCAGCAAACAGGAUUAGAUACCCUGGUAGUCCAGCGCUGUAAACGAUGUCGUUUUGGAGGUUGUGCCCUUGAGGCGUGGCUUCCGGAGCUAACGCGUUAAAGUCGACCGCCUGGGGGAGUACGGCCGCAAGGUUAAAACUCAAAUGAAUUGACGGGGUC